UGGAUUAGCGGCGGACGGGUGAGUAACACGUGGGUAACCUGCCUCAAAGAGGGGAAUAGCCUUCCGAAAGGAAGAUUAAUACCGCAUAAUAUGUUUUGGUCGCAUGACUAGAACAUCAAAGGAGCAAUCCGCUUUGAGAUGGACCCGCGGCGCAUUAGCUAGUUGGUGAGGUAACGGCUCACCAAGGCGACGAUGCGUAGCCGACCUGAGAGGGUGAUCGGCCACAUUGGAACUGAGACACGGUCCAGACUCCUACGGGAGGCAGCAGUGGGGAAUAUUGCGCAAUGGGGGAAACCCUGACGCAGCAACGCCGCGUGAAUGAUGAAGGCCUUCGGGUUGUAAAGUUCUGUCUUCUGGGACGAUAAUGACGGUACCAGAGGAGGAAGCCACGGCUAACUACGUGCCAGCAGCCGCGGUAAUACGUAGGUGGCAAGCGUUGUCCGGAUUUACUGGGCGUAAAGGAUGCGUAGGCGGACAUUUAAGUCAGAUGUGAAAUACCCGAGCUUAACUUGGGUGCUGCAUUUGAAACUGGGUGUCUAGAGUGCAGGAGAGGUAAGUGGAAUUCCUAGUGUAGCGGUGAAAUGCGUAGAGAUUAGGAAGAACACCAGUGGCGAAGGCGACUUACUGGACUGUAACUGACGCUGA
rnacentral:rRNA from 1 species